rnacentral:rRNA from 1 species
GACGAACGCUGGCGGCGUGCCUAACACAUGCAAGUCGAACGGAAAGGCCCUGCUUUUGUGGGGUGCUCGAGUGGCGAACGGGUGAGUAACACGUGAGUAACCUGCCCUUGACUUUGGGAUAACUUCAGGAAACUGGGGCUAAUACCGGAUAGGAGCUCCUGCUGCAUGGUGGGGGUUGGAAAGUUUCGGCGGUUGGGGAUGGACUCACGGCUUAUCAGCUUGUUGGUGGGGUAGUGGCUUACCAAGGCUUUGACGGGUAGCCGGCCUGAGAGGGUGACCGGCCACAUUGGGACUGAGAUACGGCCCAGACUCCUACGGGAGGCAGCAGUGGGGAAUAUUGCACAAUGGGCGGAAGCCUGAUGCAGCAACGCCGCGUGCGGGAUGACGGCCUUCGGGUUGUAAACCGCUUUCGCCUGUGACGAAGCGUGAGUGACGGUAAUGGGUAAAGAAGCACCGGCUAACUACGUG